UACGGGGGGAGCAAGCGUUGUUCGGAUUUACUGGGCGUAAAGGGCGCGUAGGCGGCCACCGCAAGUCGACUGUGAAAAUCUCCGGGCUUAACCCGGAAAGGUCAGCCGAUACUGCGGGGCUAGAGUGCAGAAGGGGCAACUGGAAUUCUCGGUGUAGCGGUGAAAUGCGUAGAUAUCGAGAGGAACACCUGCGGCGAAGGCGGGUUGCUGGGCUGACACUGACGCUGAGGCGCGAAAGCUAGGGGAGCGAACGGG
rnacentral:rRNA from 1 species